UUUGGCUGUCCGAGUUGUAAUCUAGAGAAGUGCUUACCUGCAUUGGGCCGUGUAUAAGUCUCCUGGAAUGGAGUGUCGCAGAGGGUGAGAAUCCCGUGUUUGACAUGGAUUGCCAGUGCGUUGUGGUGUGCUCUCAAAGAGUCGAGUUGUUUGGGAAUGCAGCUCUAAAUGGGUGGUAAACUCCAUCUAAAGCUAAAUAUUGGCGAGAGACCGAUAGUGAACAAGUACCGUGAGGGAAAGAUGAAAAGUACUUUGGAAAGAGAGUUAAACAGUAUGUGAAAUUGUUGAAAGGGAAACACUUGAAGUCAGUUGUGUCAGCCAGGGAUCAACCUAGUGUUUUUGCUGGGUGCAUUUCCUAGUUUGGCAGGCCAACAUGAGUUCUGACUGCUGGAGAAAAGCAAAGGGAAUGUGGCACCUUUGGGUGUGUUUAUAGCCCUUUGUCAUAUGKGCCAGUUGGGACUGAGGAAAGCAGCGUGCCCUUUGGGCUGGGUUUUUACCACGUUCGCGCUUAGGAUGUUGGCUUUUAAUGGCUUUAAUUGACCCGUCUUGAAACACGGACCAAGGAGUCUAACAUGCGUGCGAGUAUUUGGGUGAGAAAAACCCAUAUGCAAAAUGAAAGUGAAGGUUGAGAUCCCUGUGAUGGGGAGCAUUGACGCCCGGACCUGAGCUAUUAGCGAAGGAUCUGCGGUAGAGCAAGCAUGUUGGGACCCGAAAGAUGGUGAACUAUGCCUGAAUAGGGCAAAGCCAGAGGAAACUCUGGUGGAGGCUCGUAGCGAUU
rnacentral:rRNA from 1 species